CUCAGAAGAGGGUGUGGCAUCCUCUGAGACUGGAGUUACAGCUAUGAACUGUCACGUGACAUAGGUGCUGGGAACCGAACCUGGAUCCUCGGGAACUGCAGAAAGUGCUCUCAAAUACCGUUCCACCACUCCAGCCCCCACUACAGGGAUUUGGAAGAAAAUAUUUACAUGAUGAUUAUGGUGGUACAAAGGAAGUGUACUGAAUCUGAUCAUCAAAACACAACUGCAUAUCAAUAACAUCGAAGGAACAGUAAACUGAGCUUCAAUGUAUAAUAGGGCUCAGAGAACCAGUGGAAGAGGAGAAAGAAGGAGUAUAAGAGCCAGAGGGAUGGGGGACAGCAAGAAAACAAGGCCCUGUAAACCAACGGGACUGAUGUACACAUGAACUUACAGAGACUGAGGCAUCGUGCACAGGGCUUACAUGGGUCUGCACCAGCUGGGGUCCUCUUGCUGCAAGGAGAAGCAGACACAUGCCCCGAGCCCUAACCAGAAGCAUUGAUAACCAGUCGAUGGAUAACCACUUGCAAAUGAAAACUUCGUUUUCUUCAAGGGAGUUGCACUGGGGAAACAAACGACACUGAAGGGUAGGCUGCUUGCACUGCAGUAACGACUCUGAAGGGUAGGCUGCUUGCACUGCAGUAACGACUCUGAAGGGUAGGCUGCUUGCACUUC
rnacentral:lncRNA from 1 species